AUCACUACUUGGCAGGGGGGAUACAGUGAUCAAGAAGGUUUGCCCAGGGUGAGGCUCUUCCAUUGCACACUUCGAUUGGAUUGACCCCUUUGAUUUCCCUAAAUGUGGGAAAAUCAACUGCAGAAUUUGUGGUAGUGGAGGACUGCAUUUUUGCAGUUCGCAA